rnacentral:rRNA from 1 species
UGCUAAUACCGAAUGUUGUGCAAUCUCCGCAUGGAGGAUGCAUUAAAGAUGGCCUCUACUUGUAAGCUAUCGCUUUGCGAUGGGUCUGCGUCUGAUUAGCUAGUUGGUGGGGUAACGGCCUACCAAGGCGACGAUCAGUAGCCGGUCUGAGAGGAUGAACGGCCACAUUGGAACUGAGACACGGUCCAGACUCUACGGGAGGCAGCAGUGGGGAAUCUUCCGCAAUGGGCGAAAGCCUGACGGAGCAACGCCGCGUGAGUGAAGAAGGUCUUCGGAUCGUAAAGCUCUGUUGUCGGGGACGAAUGUGUUUUUGUGAAUAAUGAGAAGCAAUGACGGUACCUGACGAGGAAGCCACGGCUAACUACGUGCCAGCAGCCGCGGUAAUACGUAGGUGGCGAGCGUUGUCCGGAAUUAUUGGGCGUAAAGGGAGCGCAGGCGGGAAGGCAAGUCAGUCUUAAAAGUGCGGGGCUCAACCCCGUGAUGGGAUUGAAACUGUCUUUCUUGAGUGCAGGA